rnacentral:lncRNA from 1 species
CUGGGUGCCUGUUCAUCGCUGAAAAUGUUUCAUUCCUAGUCGAUUGCAGACGAAUGGGGUCGCAAGGAAAGAGUCGUGGGGAUGACACAUGGCUUCACUUUCGUGUUAUUUUCAUAAAACUUAGGUUUGAAAAAUAUGAAUAAUAUAAUAAUAUGCUUGAUCUAAUGUCAGACUGUGUGAGGCUGAAAGGCAGUCUUACAAAAAUGGAUUUGAGAUUAUCAAUGAGAAAAAUGUGUUAUUAUGCUAUGUAGCAUGAAUAGGGACUUGGUUACUUUACACAAAACUGGAAGGGCCAUUGCAUUACUUCCUCAUCCAUCUUGGCAAUUGGUUUGGUAAAGCGAUCAAUGCCAGGGAAUUUUAGCAAUUAACCUGCAUUUUCAAGAUGUCUUGAAUUCCUCCCACAUAAUUGGUUAAACGAGUGAAAAUGGCCACUUUCUCACUCUGAAGUUUUCCGUCACUGGUUUUCAGAAGGAAGAUAGUGAUUCCAAUCUGAGUGUUGUUGCUUAUUAUUGGACCACCCUCAUCCCCCUGAAAUGAAUCAAACAGCACACAGAUAACAUUCUGAAGGAAAGUACAAUUAAACCUUACCUUUCAAACACUCCAGCCUUCAGUUCUUUCAGCACAGAGGUGAUAUACGAGACGCGGCACCCAAUUUCAAUCGAAAGUCGUUAUGCAAUUUCCGAAACUUCUCCUUCAAAUAAGCCAUCUGUAUCGCAACCAUAUUCCAUAUCCUCUCUUCCCUGUUGCGUGGCCAAAUGCGUAAUAUUUUAGGAAUUAAUCUGGUCUAGCAUCAGACCCGUAAUUGGGAAAAUAGAUUUUUUUUCCUCAGCUGAAAAUACAUUGAACCAGGAAGUGUAGAAGCCAUAGCUGAUCCACAGCUAAACAAACACUGUAGCCAGUAUACUCAUGCCAUUGUACCCUUGCCAGUGCUGAAUAGCAGGGUAAUUUCGAACAAGCUUUCACGUUUUCCAGCUGCACUUUUGUCUGCUGUAAUGCUAAAACCGGAAGACCGCCGUUAUUAUUUUAAACCUUUAACUUCCUUUAUUAGUAUUAUAUACAGGUGUUUGUGCUUUGAUUCAACCUGAUUAUGUGAAAGAGUUGCUUUCUUUGAAAAUGACAAAAAGUCUUAUUGAGUACUUAUAUAAUUCCAAAAUCCGCCAAAAUUGAAAAUGGAAUUUUGUUGCUUGGCUUAAGACGACAAUCAUGUUAAGUACGAAGAGUCCAAGAAAAAUGUCUCCGAUUAAUGUUUAGAAAGACGAUUUCACUUGGCACGUUGCGUACAUCAUUUUUUCGGCUGACGGCGCGUAUGUUUGUCGCAUCGGAUUCAACGUUUUGUUAAGGUGGCCAAUCAAAUUGAGAGAAAUCCCAUUAGAUCUAAUGAUUUGAUUCUGGACUUGUGAAACGGUAGCAAGUACAUUGAUACGUUCGCCAUUUUUAUUCUGCGGACAACGAAUGCAGACGCUGGUGAUUAUCCUUCUGAAUGGUCUGCCAGUUCAACGUUAUUACGAGAAUUAACCUCU